AUUAAUAAUUACUAUUAAUUUAAAGCAAAAAGAUUUGAAUAAUUGAAAUUUAAAAAUAGUUGAGACUUAUAAUCAAUUUUUGUUUCUUCAAGUGCAUUGAAACUGUAAGUCGAUAUCGGAAAGUUUAUUUGUUAAUUUAUUCUGCCUUUACGACAAAUUUCCUUUUGAAAAUUGAUUUCAAAUAUAAUUCUAGAAGAAUUUAGGAUUUGGUUUCCUAUUUUCCUUUGCAAGUUAGAUAUUUAAACCUCGACUACAAAAUGGCAGGCGGUAAAAAGCAAAAAAGUUCGACUAGUUUUGAGAGUUUAUACUAGUUGUCCAAUCUUGGACACAAUAUUUUUUUUAUAUUAUUAUUAUUUUUUUUAUUGAAUUAUUUUGUGAAUUAUAAGAUUUGAAUUGUUUACUUUUUUAUUUAUAUUCUUACUGUUGCCAGUUAAAUUGAAUUGCAUUGAAUUGUCAUAAACUGCAUUACCGUAAUAUUAUAAAUAUAUCAUUGUUAAGUAAACCCUUUUUAGUACGAAAAAUGAAUUGUCAAAUUGUUGUAAUUAUUAGCUGAAUUGCCAUUUUGUAUAAAUCUUAAGCUUCCUUAUUAUAAUCGCGAAAAUAAAACUUCACUUGUAAUUCAUCAGUCGCAGUGAAAACAUUAAAAUAACUCUCCCGCUCUUUAACUUCACUUUAAUUUAAUCUCUCAGUGCUGUGAACAAAAUAUAAAAUAAAAUAUAAAAAAAACCUCCAACUUCACUUAUUUACUUCAAUUAGCCCGGCAGAACAAAAGAUUGCUCCUUGUUUUCCCCCCGCUCUACCAGUCUACAGAAGUUGCUCUAGUUUAUUUCAUGGUCACUUCGAACCGCUGAAAAUUGAAACCAGAAAAAUACCAACAAAUUUCCCUACAAAAAUCACCGCAAGAAUGAGGUAAAUUACAUGCUCAUCAGUUUUUAAAAGUCGGACAAAAC